rnacentral:rRNA from 1 species
GACGAACGCUGGCGGCGUGCUUAACACAUGCAAGUCGAACGGUAAGGCCCUUCGGGGUACACGAGUGGCGAACGGGUGAGUAACACGUGGGUGAUCUGCCCUGCACUUCGGGAUAAGCCUGGGAAACUGGGUCUAAUACCGGAUAGGACCACUGCCUGCAUGGGUGGUGGUGGAAAGCUUUUGCGGUGCGGGAUGGGCCCGCGGCCUAUCAGCUUGUUGGUGGGGUGAUGGCCUACCAAGGCGACGACGGGUAGCCGGCCUGAGAGGGUGACCGGCCACACUGGGACUGAGAUACGGCCCAGACUCCUACGGGAGGCAGCAGUGGGAAUAUUGCACAAUGGGCGCAAGCCUGAUGCAGCGACGCCGCGUGGGGGAUGACGGCCUUCGGGUUGUAAACCUCUUUCAGCACCGACGAAGCGCAAGUGACGGUAGGUGCAGAAGAAGGACCGGCCAACUACGUGCCAGCCGCCGCGGUAA